rnacentral:rRNA from 1 species
UUGUCUCAAAGAUUAAGCCAUGCAUGUCUCAGUACAAACCGCAUUAAGGUGAAACCGCGAAAGGCUCAUUAUAUCAGUUAUGGUUCAUUAGAUCGUACCCCACAUUUACUUGGAUAACUGUGGUAAUUCUAGAGCUAAUACACGCAAACAGAACUCCGACCGGAGACGGAAGGAGCGCUUUUAUUAGAUCAAAACCAAUAGGCGUCGGCGGCCGGCCGGCUCGUUCCGGUCGCGUCGUCGUCGUUACAUAGCUCGCACGACGAAUCUGAAUAACUUUAUGCCGAUCGCACGGUCUCGCACCGGCGACGCAUCUUUCAAAUGUCUGCCUUAUCAACUUUCGAUGGUAGGUUAUGCGCCUACCAUGGUUGUAACGGGUAACGGGGAAUCAGGGUUCGAUUCCGGAGAGGGAGCCUGAGAAACGGCUACCACAUCCAAGGAAGGCAGCAGGCGCGCAAAUUACCCACUCCCGGCACGGGGAGGUAGUGACGAAAAAUAACGAUACGGGACUCAUCCGAGGCCCCGUGAUCGGAAUGAGCACACUUUAAAUCCUUUAACUAGGAUCAAUUGGAGGGCAAGUCUGGUGCCAGCAGCCGCGGUAAUUCCAGCUCCAAUAGCGUAUAUUAAAGUUGCUGCGGUUAAAAAGCUCGUAGUCGAAAUUGUGUCCCGGGCCGCCGGUUCGUCGCUCGCGACGUCAACUGGCGCGCACGCGGGACGUCAAGCCGGUGCCACGAACCCGCCGACGGUGCUCUUAACCGAGUGUCCAGGCGGGGGCCGGCAACGUUACUUUGAACAAAUUAAAGUGCUCAAAGCAGGCUAAACUGCGCUCGUAUAAUUAGUGCAUGGAAUAAUCGAAUAGGACCUCUGUUCUAUUUUGUUGGCUUUUGUAGAACGCACAGAGGUAAUGAUCAAUGGGUGCGGAUGGGGGCAUUCGUAUUGCGACGUUAGAGGUGAAAUUCUUGGAUCGUCGCAAGACGCACUAAAGCGAAAGCAUUUGCCAAAAACGCUUUCAUCGAUCAAGAACGAAAGUUAGAGGUUCGAAGGCGAUCAGAUACCGCCCUAGUUCUAACCAUAAACUAUGCCAGCCAGCGAUCCGCCGCAGUUACUUCUAUGACUCGGCGGGCAGCUCCCGGGAAACCAAAGCUUUUGGGUUCCGGGGGAAGUAUGGUUGCAAAGCUGAAACUUAAAGGAAUUGACGGAAGGGCACCACCAGGAGUGGAGCCUGCGGCUUAAUUUGACUCAACACGGGAAACCUCACCAGGCCCGGACACCGAAAGGAUUGACAGAUUGAGAGCUCUUUCUUGAUUCGGUGGGUGGUGGUGCAUGGCCGUUCUUAGUUGGUGGAGCGAUUUGUCUGGUUAAUUCCGAUAACGAACGAGACUCUAGCCUGCUAAAUAGGCGACUAAACGCGACGCACGUCGUCGCGUUACAGACAUCUCGAAGGCCCGCGUUGCGGUCGUCGCGUCGU